rnacentral:rRNA from 1 species
GAUCAUGGCUCAGGACGAACGCUGGCGGCGUGCUUAACACAUGCAAGUCGAACGAAGAGCGAUGGAAGCUUGCUUCUAUCAAUCUUAGUGGCGAACGGGUGAGUAACGCGUAAUCAACCUGCCCUUCAGAGGGGGGACAACAGUUGGAAAUGACUGCUAAUACCGCAUACGAUCUAAUCUCGGCAUCGAGGAUAGAUGAAAGGUGGCCUCUACAUGUAAGCUAUC